rnacentral:rRNA from 1 species
UACGUAGGGGGCGAGCGUUGUCCGGAGUACUGGGCGUAAAGCGCACGCAGGCGGUCUGCUAAGUUUGGAGUGACAGUUGGUGGCUUAACUGCCAAAGUGCUUCGAAAACUGACAGACUUGAGGGCUUCAGAGGGACACGGAAUUCCGGGUGGAGUGGUGAAAUGCGUAGAGAUCCGGAGGAACACCAGCGGCGAAGGCGGCUUCUGGUCCGAUACUGACGCUGAGGUGCGAAAGCGUGGGGAGCGAUCCGG